rnacentral:lncRNA from 1 species
UAGACGUUUUUUUGUGCUGCCUUUUUCUCCUGGACCCAAUGUUCUAUCAGACCCAAAUGUGAGAUCUACUUCUCUGAGAAAUUCUCCCACUCAAAGGGAACACUUUGAUGAGAUUAAUUAACCCGAAUACCAAAGAUCUGUUUGUGGCACCCAGAUGUGGAGUUGGUGGGCAGGUCCCGCUCAAGGAGGAGCAAAGUUCUAGGAAGGGGAAGAGGACCCAGGAAGGUCAUCCAGGUUCCUCAGCAUGAGCCAGGCACUCUCGGUUUACAUUCGACCAGGAAGGGAAGGAGCCUGUGGAAUUCCCAGCACAUCCCAGCGCGGGAGGCAACACCAGGAUUCCCAGCCUGUGGUACUGUGACCUCGCCUGCUCACCCAGGUCGCAAGCUUGGAAGAAAGUUUUAUUCUUCACACCAGGCCUAACAUAUUGCAUUGUAUUUACAAGCCGUUGAGCAGUUCUAUGAAACACCCAACCCUAUCUUCAGAUCCAGAAAGAAGAUUCCGAGUGAGUGAGCAGCAGGGGUGGGAGCCAAGCCUGAAGGCCACACACCAGCGACUCCUGCUUCCAGCCAAAAGUCCUGGUAACCUGUUAGCCUCCUGCCUUGGUGGGGCCAUGGGGCCGGGCCUGCCUUCCCAGCCCCGUCCUGAGCCAGGCCAGGAGAGGACAAAGACUCGCAUUCAGAGGCAAACCUGCUCCCGCCGCACACCCCGAGCAGCUCUUCUGAAGCUCAGCCACUUUCCCCUCUGGAGCCUUCUGUUUCCUGCCCAGUUCCAGCUGCUUCUGUGAAAUCAAUCAGGUCAAGGUCAAAUGGCCAACGCGGGAAGCCAAAGGCAGGGAAGUAGGUUUAGAGAACUGAACAGACACCCUCACUGCCAGCUCACAGUUGUGACUCAGCGGAAAUUCUGGAACGCAGAGCCUGACCCAAAUGUUUGUGGAAAAGAGGGGAAUCGAUGCUCCUGGAAUCAGCAGAGAAUGAAUCAAUGCCUGGCUGAUGAAUGAAUGAAUGAGUGGAUGAAUGAAUGAGUGCAUGAAGGGAAGGACAGGCCCUUCACCCUGCUGAAGAAAUAGGAGGGAAGCGCUCUCAGCGCUCUGAGGGUUGGAGGAUGCUUGAGAGUCUGUGCUGGAGUCUUCAGGGAAACCCGGCAGGGGUGGGGGGGCACUGACUCCCCCUGCACACCAUGGGCUUGGGCAAAGCUCCCCCUUGGUUCCUGACUCUGCCGGAGGAGGAAAUCCUGAGCAGACUACUGGGGAGGGCUCCUGGCUUCCAGCCGUCAGAUGACAUAUAGAAGCGGGUGGAGAGGGCAGGAAGAUACAGUUGGCAGGCGUCCCCUUGCUGAGGUCACAGCAGCUGAAGAUAGGCGGUGACCUUUGGUACCCACCUUGUUGGCGUUGGCGGAAGGAGCCGCACUCCAGGGACAGGCUGUGGGUGCGGCUGUGCUGAGGGUGGCAGGGAGGGAGUCUGCUCACUCCCCUGUGCCUGCAGGUCCUCAGGGCCCAAGGGACACGUUUGCAUUCGAGACCCUUGUCUCACAUCCCCCCCAAGUGAGGGCACGGGCCCCACACUGCUGAGAACCCUGGGGAUGGGAGACAGCCUAGAUGACCUCUCCCGGGGGCCCCACGAGGGUAAGCUAGGGCACCUGGCUCCCCUGAGGGCUAAGGAGGUGUGUUGCUCUGUCCCUUGGUGCCCGCUGGGAUAGGGAAGGGAGCAGGGAGGGGCACCCGGCAACAUCUCCA